rnacentral:tRNA from 1 species
CGGGGCGUAGCUUAGUUUGGUAGAGCGCGUGGUUUGGGACCACGAGGUCGCUGGUUCAAAUCCAGUCGCCCCGACCA